CGUGUAGGCGGCCAUGUAGGUCCGUUGUGAAAACUCGAGGCUCAACCUCGAGACGCCGAUGGAAACCAUGUGGCUAGAGUCCGGAAGAGGAGAGUGGAAUUCCUGGUGUAGCGGUGAAAUGCGCAGAUAUCAGGAAGAACACCCGUGGCUAAGGCGGCUCUCUAGUACGGUACUGACGCUGAGACGCGAAAGCGUGGGAGCGAACA
rnacentral:rRNA from 1 species